rnacentral:rRNA from 1 species
AAGUGGCGCACGGGUGAGUAACACGUGGGUAAUCUACCGGGAAGUGAGGAAUAACGACUGGAAACGGUCGCUAAUACCGCAUGAGCCCCGCAAGGGGGAAAGGAGGCCUCUGCAUAUGCUUCCGCUUUUCGAUGAGCCCGCGUCCCAUUAGCUAGUUGGCGGGGUAACGGCCCACCAAGGCGACGAUGGGUAGCUGGUCUAAGAGGAUGAUCAGCCACAUUGGAACUGGAACACGGUCCAAACUCCUACGGGAGGCAGCAGUGGGGAAUAUUGCGCAAUGGGCGAAAGCCUGACGCAGCGACGCCGCGUGAGGGAUGAAGGUCUUCGGAUCGUAAACCUCUGUCAAGAGGGAAGAACAAGCAGUGUGCUAAUCAGCACUGCCCUGACGGUACCUCUAGAGGAAGCACCGGCUAACUCCGUGCCAGCAGCCGCGGUAAUACGGAGGGUGCAAGCGUUAAUCGGAAUUACUGGGCGUAAAGCGCAUGUAGGCUGUAUGUUAAGUUGGGGGUGGAAUCCCACGGCUCAACCGUGGAACUGCCCUCAAAACUGGCAAACUAGAGUGUGAGAGAGGAUGGCGGAAUUCCAGGUGUAGGAGUGAAAUCCGUAGAUAUCUGGAAGAACAUCAGUGGCGAAGGCGGCCAUCUGGCUCAUAACUGACGCUGAGAUGCGAAAGCGUGGGUAGCAAACAGGAUUAGAUACC